AUUGAACGCUGGUGGCGGGCCUAACACAUGCAAGUCGAACGAGUGGCGGACGGGUGAGUAAUGUCUGGGAAACUGCCUGAUGGAGGGGGAUAACUACUGGAAACGGUAGCUACUACCGCAUACCAUCAGAUGUGGCCCGAUGGGAUUAGCUUGUGGGUGGGGUAACGGCUAACGAAGACGACGAUCCCUAGCGGGUCUGAGAGGAGGACCAGCCACACUGGAACUGAGACACGGUCCAGACUCCUACGGGAGGCAGCAGUGGGGAAUAUUGCACAAUGGGCGAAAGCCUGAUGCAGCAAUGCCGCGUGUAUGAAGAAGGCUUGCGGGUUGUAAAGUACUGUCAUCGGGGAGGCGUUACCCGCAGAAGAAGCACCGGCUAACUCCGUGCCAGCAGCCGCGGUAAUUC
rnacentral:rRNA from 1 species